CUUGAUUAAUUAUAAGAGGUAUAGCCUGCCCAGUGACACAUGUUUAACGGCCGCGGUAUCCUAACCGUGCGAAGGUAGCGUAAUCACUUGUUCUUUAAAUGAGGACUAGUAUGAACGGCAUCACGAAGGUUAUACUGUCUCCUUUCUCCAAUCAGUAAAACUAAUCUCCCCGUGAAGAAGCGGGGAUAAACCUAUAAGACGAGAAGACCCUAUGGAGCUUUAAACUAACCAGCAAUUGCUAAAUAAAUUUUUACUUUAAAAACAAUCUAGCUCUCUGACUGGUAAUUUUCGAUUGGGGUGAUCACGGAACAAAAAUAACCUCCGUGUCGAAAGGUUCUACCUGAGCAAAAAGCGACAGCUUUCCGCACUAAAAAAUUAACGUUUAUUGACCCAAUAUUUUGAUCAACGAAC
rnacentral:rRNA from 1 species